rnacentral:rRNA from 1 species
AUGCUCUCUCUGCUGGUCUCCCGGCCUCCCUCGGCCGGCGUCGCUGCGUUGUCCGACCUGGUGGAUGGAGGGCUUGGGCUGCCGCGGCUUGGGUGUCUCCCGUCCCCGGCCUCUGAUGAUGUUGCUCCUGCCAGCGCCGCGCCGUCAACCCUGAUUGCUGCUGUGGGCGCGCCGUCCCCGACUCCUGCCGGCGCUAUUACGUCGUCCUUGGCUCCUGCAGAAGCCCCGCCACCCUCGGCUGCGACUGCUGAAGCGCCGUCCACGUCUCCUGCUGGCUCCGUCACAUCGUCCUCGACUCCUGUGAAAGCGAUGCCGUCCUCAACUCCUGUCGGCACGUCGCCGGAUCUGGGCACCAAGCAACCUGUUUCGUGGAGCUCUCUUACCAAAGACGAAGAAGGUGAAGAUGACGACGAGCUGGCCCCGCAGACACCGCCACCGGCUACCAAAUCCCCAGUUCCCCGCUUCCGGCUACUCGACCGGACAUGA